rnacentral:rRNA from 1 species
UACGUAGGGACCAAGCGUUGUUCGGAUUUACUGGGCGUAAAGGGCGCGUGGGCGGCAAUUCAAGUCAUCUGUGAAAUCUCCGAGCUUAACUCGGAACGGUCAGAUGAUACUGUUUUGCUAGAGUACAGAAGGGGCAAUCGGAAUUCUUGGUGUAGCGGUGAAAUGCGUAGAUAUCAAGAGGAACACCUGAGGUGAAGACGGGUUGCUGGGCUGAUACUGACGCUGAGGCGCGAAAGCUAGGGUAGCAAACGGG